rnacentral:lncRNA from 1 species
CGCACGGCUGAACCGAAAAAAGGUUAAAUUUGACGCACCGACGAACGAAUCGUUCGUUGCAAUGUGAGAUGGCGCGGACACAUGGUUAUAAGAGAACAGAAGAGGACCCAUGUAUUUGAUAAUCCGUCGUAACCGUUGGACGGACGCAAUGUCACAUGCCGCGAGGAGAUCUUCGUGGAGUGGUGAACUAUGUUCGAAUUACAUUAC